CAUGCAAGUCGAACGGAGCUUAGAGAGCUUGCUUUUUAAGCUUAGUGGCGAACGGGUGAGUAACGCGUGAGUAACCUGCCCUAGAGUGGGGGACAACAGUUGGAAACGACUGCUAAUACCGCAUAAGCCCACGGUACCGCAUGGUACUGAGGGAAAAGGAUUUAUUCGCUUUAGGAUGGACUCGCGUCCAAUUAGCUAGUUGGUGAGGUAACGGCCCACCAAGGCGACGAUUGGUAGCCGGACUGAGAGGUUGAACGGCCACAUUGGGACUGAGACACGGCCCAGACUCCUACGGGAGGCAGCAGUGGGGGAUAUUGCACAAUGGGGGAAACCCUGAUGCAGCGACGCCGCGUGGAGGAAGAAGGUUUUCGGAUUGUAAACUCCUGUCGUUAGGGACGAUAAUGACGGUACCUAACAAGAAAGCACCGGCUAACUACGUGCCAGCAGCCGCGGUAAAACGUAGGGUGCAAGCGUUGUCCGGAAUUACUGGGUGUAAAGGGAGCGCAGGCGGGAAGACAAGUUGGAAGUGAAAACCAUGGGCUCAACCCAUGAAUUGCUUUCAAAACUGUUUUUCUUGAGUAGUGCAGAGGUAGAUGGAAUUCCCGGUGUAGCGGUGGAAUGCGUAGAUAUCGGGAGGAACACCAGUGGCGAAGGCGGUCUACUGGGCACCAACUGACGCUGAGGCUCGAAAGCAUGGGUAGCAAACAGGAUUAGAUACCCUGGUAGUCCAUGCCGUAAACGAUGAUUACUAGGUGUUGGGGGAUUGACCCCCUCAGUGCCGCAGUUAACACAAUAAGUAAUCCACCUGGGGAGUACGACCGCAAGGUUGAAACUCAAAGGAAUUGACGGGGGCCCGCACAAGCAGUGGAGUAUGUGGUUUAAUUCGAAGCAACGCGAA
rnacentral:rRNA from 1 species